GACGAACGCUGGCGGCGCGCUUAACACAUGCAAGUCGAACGGAAAGGCCUGCUUUCCCUUGUGGAUUGCGGGUACUCGAGUGGCGAACGGGUGAGUAACACGUGAGUGAUCUGCCCCCAACUUGGGUAUAAGCCUGGGAAACUGGGUCUAAUUCCCGAUAGGACUGCAGGGUGGUGCCUGUGGUGGAAAACGAUUUUCUAGUGGUUGGGGAUGAGCUCGCGGCCUAUCAGCUUGUUGGUGGGGUAAUGGCCUACCAAGGCGGCGACGGGUAGCCGGCCUGAGAGGGUGGACGGCAACAUUGGGACUGAGAUACGGCCCAGACUGCUACGGGAGGCAGCAGUGGGGAAUAAUGCACAAUGGGCGGAAGCCUGAUGCAGCGACGCCGCGUGGGGGAUGACGGCCUUCGGGUUGUAAACUCCUUUCGACCGCGAGGAAGCCACCUGGUUGGAAGGGUGGUGACGGUAGUGGUAGAAGAAGCACCGGCUAACUACGUG
rnacentral:rRNA from 1 species